GCCCCCCUUUUUUUCUACUCUCUAUCCCCUCCAUUCAACACGUGGCCGCCGCUCUCCCUAGGACUCAAAGGCCAAACGUCGCCGACCAAACGCCGUACAUCGGCGCGAACUCACUCCGACCACCGUCGCUCCAGCAAGGAAGCCCAAACAACGACCUGAACGAAAACGCCUCAAAUUCUCUUCCACUCUCCUUCUCCCUCAAGCUCGAAACAUCCUAGGCCGAAAACCCAUGCCGUAAAUAGGCUUCAGCCGAAAUUACAACCACCACCAACGGUGGUCGGUUUAAACGUAGUCUAGACCUAAACCUCUGGGGUCCCUCUCCUUCCUCACGUGACCGGCGCCCCCAAAGAACUCGGCCACCAAGCCUCCUAGACACGACACCGUCGCCUCCUAGCCGUAAAUCGGCGCUGCUCUCCCAUGGGCCACCAUCUAUGGUGGCCGAACGAACCUAAAAACCGACCCUAAAGGAAAAAGACCCUCUUGCUCACAAUUUUUUUAUUGAAAAAUAUGGGAGAGCUAUUACAAUGGUGUUUUUUUUCGAACGGGGGCUGAGGAGGCUAUUACAAAUGCUCCCCUCUCCUUUUCUUUUUCGAUGUGGGGAACCAGGGACCUCCUCUCCAUUUUUAUUUUUUUGGGGGUUUUUAUACAACCCCUGCUACAAUGAAAAAAUAAAUUUCCAAUGCUUUUCUUUUUGUCCUUUCACGUGUGGCUUCGAUGGAGAUUAGGAGUCUGGUUUGUUUAACUGUUGGAGCGUUUGGGGCUUAGCUGGAGCGUUGAGGAGCACAAGUGAGGGACCACUGUGCUCGAUGGAGCCUUGUUGGCGGCUGUCGUGGCUUCGGGACCACUGUGGUGCUCGGUUGAGGUGCUGGCAGCUGGGGAGUGGGGACCAGCUGCUAAUGUGGUGCAAAAGGGUUUAGGCUUGAAUGUAAUGGUUGUAAUGGUUACUUGAGUUUGUAAAUGGAUAUUUUUAUUUAGACA